rnacentral:rRNA from 1 species
GACGAACGCUGGCGGCGUGCCUAAUACAUGCAAGUCGAACGCAGUGGGGACGGGUGAGUAACACGUGGGUAACCUCCCAUCAGAGGGGAUAACACUUGGAAACAGGUGCUAAACCGAUACUGAUGGAUGGAUCCGCGGUGCAUUAGCUAGUUGGUGGGGUAACGGCUCACCAAGGCCACGAUGCAUAGCCGAACUGGGAGAGGGAUCGGCCACAUGGGGGCUGAGACACGGACCAGACGCCUACGGGAGGCAGCAUUAGGUAAUAUGAGGCAAUGGACGAAAGUCUGGCCGAGCAACGCAGCGUGUGUGAAGAAGGUUCUUGGAGCGUAAAACUCUGUUGUUAGAGAAGCGGUAUCGAACCAGAAAGCAACGGCUAACUACGUGCCAGCCGCCGCGGUAAUUC